AGAGUUUGAUCCUGGCUCAGAGCGAACGCUGGCGGCGUGCCUAACACAUGCAAGUCGAACGUGAACGGAGCAAUCCUAGUAAAGUGGCGUACGGGUGAGUAACACGUAGGUAAUCUACCUUACAGUUCGGAAUAACCUGACGAAAGUCGGGCUAAUACUGGAUAGAGCGACGGAAGCCGUAACGGUUUUUUCGGGAAAGGGAGCUCGAUAAGAGCCUUCGCUGUAAGAUGAGCCUGCGUCUGAUUAGUUAGUUGGUGGGGUAAUGGCCUACCAAGACGAUGAUCAGUAGCUGGUCUGAGAGGAUGAUCAGCCACACUGGAACUGAAACACGGUCCAGACUCCUACGGGAGGCAGCAGUGGGGAAUCUUGCGCAAUGGACGAAAGUCUGACGCAGCCACGCCGCGUGGAGUGAAAGAGGGGCUUCGGGUUGUAAAGCUCUGUCACCUGGGGACGAAAAACACUGACGGUUAAUAGCCCGUCCGGAAUUUGACGGUACCAGGGGAGGGAAGCACCGGCUAACUUCGUGCCAGCAGCCGCCGGUAAUACGAAAGGGGCAAGCGUUGCUCCGAAUUAAUGGGCGUAAAGGGUUGGGUAGGGGGGCCUGGUUUGUCUAAGGGGAAAUCCCCCUGGCUUAACUGUGGGAAGUGCCUUAAAAACGGCAAGAACUAGAAGUUCUCUAGGGGGGUUGUGGGAAUUCCCGGUGGUUGCGUAAAAAUUGCGGUAAGGAGAUCGGGAGAACACCCGCGCGCGAGAGCGGCGGCCAAACUGGUAUAGAUACUGGACCACUCCACCAACAGAAGGCGUGGGGAAGCAAACCAGUUAGAUACCCUGUAGCCCACGCUGUAAAACAGAUGAGUGCUGGGCUUGUGUGGGAAAUAGCCCCCCUGCAAGCGCGGGAGUUACCCCAAUUAUUUCCCCCCCUGGGAAAGUACUGUCCCAAGGUUAAAUCUCAAAAGGAAUUGGGGGGGGCCCCCCCCAAGCGGUGGUUCAUGUGUUUUAUUUGGAAGCACCGCGCAAAACCUUCCCGGGUUUGACUUCCCCGACCCGGGUAAAAAUACAGUUUUGGUACCAUUCCACCCGGGAGCCAGUUGCCCCAGGGCUUUCUUCACCUGGUGGGGGACCAUGUUGGGUUAAUUCCCCCCACCCGAGCCCAACCCUUUCCUUUUAGUUCCCACCUUUAAGUUGGCCCCUUUGGAGGGACUGCCGUGGUUACCAGGGAGGAAGGUGGGGGAUGACGUCAAAGUCCUUCAUGGCCUUUAUUUCCAGGGCGACCCCACGUGAUACAAUGGAUGACACAAAGGGAAGCGAACCCGCGAGGGGGAGCGAAUCUCAAAAAGUCAUUCUCAGUUCGGAUUGGAGUCUGCAACUCGACUCCAUGAAGCUGGAAUCGCUAGUAAUCGCGGAUCAGAACGCCGCGGUGAAUACGUUCCCGGGCCUUGUACACACCGCCCGUCACACCAUGGGAGCUGACUCAACCAGAAAACGAUCAGGCUAACCGUAAGGGGGCCUUCGUUGAAGGUGGGGUUGGUAACUGGGGUGAAGUCGUAACAAGGUAACC
rnacentral:rRNA from 1 species